AUCCAGAUGACGAGUCCUAAAUAGGACGAAACGUGUGUCAAACUGGAU
rnacentral:hammerhead_ribozyme from 1 species